rnacentral:miRNA from 1 species
ACAGUAGUUUGCCCAUUGGUU